rnacentral:rRNA from 1 species
AUACCUGUCAAAACCAGAUCAUUUUGAACUAAAACGCUAGCAAUUAAACCACCCAAAACAUCACAUUAAUUAUCAACCAACUAAAACAUUCUAAAUCUAAGUAUCUGCGACAGAACAGAAAUAAUUUAGCCAUAGAGAAAGUACCGUAAGGGAAAGCUGAAAAAGAAAUUAAAAAAUCCAUCAAAGUACAAAAUAGCAGGAAUUAACUUCCGUACCUUUUGCAUUAUGAUCUAGUUAGUCAACCGGAGCAAAAAGACUUUAAGUUCCUCCUCCCGAAACUAGACGAGCUAUUUUAUAGCAGCUAAUCGAGCUAAUCCGUCUCUGUAGCAAAAGAGUGGAAAGACUAUUAAAUAGAGGUGACACGCCUAUCGAGCCUAGUAAUAGCUGGUUGCUUAAUAAACGAGUAUAAGCUCUACCUUAAAUCUUAUUACAAUAAAACCAAUAUUAAUAAAAACUUAAGAGCCAUUCAUAAGAGGUACAGCCCUUAUGAAAAAGGAGACAACCUACAACUAUGGCUAAUGAUUAUACACAAUAAAAUCUUAUAACCCAGUAGACUUAAAAGCAGCCAUCUAUUAUGAAAGCGUCAUAGCUCUAAACAUUAUAACUAAACAACCCCAAUAAUUUAUCAAAAUCCAUCAAAUUUAUUAAGCCUACUCAUACAUUUAUAACUAUGAUAAUACUAGAACUAGUAAUAAGAAAACAUAAUUUUCUCUUCCGCUUCAGUGUAAACUAGAUUGGACUCCCCACUAGUAAUUAACAAAAUAAUUUAACAUAAUAAACUAGACCAUAAUGCAAAAUUUA